rnacentral:rRNA from 1 species
AUUGAACGCUGGCGGCAGGCCUAACACAUGCAAGUCGAACGAGUGGCGGACGGGUGAGUAAUGUCUGGGAAAAUGCCAGAUGUAGGGGGAUAACUACUAGAAACGGUAGCUAAUACCGCAUACCAUCAGAGCUGCCCAGAUGGGAUUAGCUUGUUGGUGGGGUAACGGCUCACCAAGGCGACGAUCCCUAGCUGGUCUGAGAGGAGGACCAGCAACACUGGAACUGAGACACGGUCCAGACUCCUACGGGAGGCAGCAGUGGGGAAUAUUGGACAAGGGGCGCAAGCCUGAUGCAGCCAUGCCGCUUGUAUGAGGAAGGCCUUCGGGUUGUAAAGUACUUUCAGCAGGGAGGCGUUACCCGCAGAAUAAGCACCGGCUAACUCCGUGCCAGCAGCCGCGGUAAUAC